CCCUCUCUCUCUCUCUCUCUCUCUCUCUCUCCUCUGCGUAUUACUGUUGCCGACGACGCAGGAGUACUUUCCGGCCACCAUUUUUAGCCACGCGCCGGACCGUUGGAUUCAGAGGCCUCCGAACUAUCGACCUACGCGGGAAUCUAGAACUCACUCGCCGAUUAAACGCCUCAACCACUCGAUUUAAGUUCGGCCACCCCGCGACUUCAAAGUUGCGAUUCGGCCACCUCGGGCAUCCGUUUGCCGAUCCGUCACCACCAUCGUGUUCCUCGUGUUGUGGGCUUCAAAACCCAAUAACUUGUUCCUACAUCUACCAUAGUUGGGUGGUGGGCCCACCACGAGCCACCGCGAUCCAUCGUAGACCGACGGUCGAAACUUAGUGUUCGAGGUUCCGAAGUACGUUUUGAGUCUCAGAAAAUCAUCGUUUGACUUAUUGUGGAACCCGAUCAUUUUGGAUUUGUAUGGAUUUGAUUGAUUGACUCUUGGUGAGCCGUUUUAAAAUAAGCUAAGGACCUAAGGUGUGGCUUUAGCUGUUGAGCAACUUGUGGAGCACGGACUCAGUAGCAAUGCAAUAAUGGUUUAGAGUUUUCAUAUGGCUGCCUUAAAUUUAAAGUAUUCAUACGUGUAAUAAUUUCUUCUAAUAAGUUUAUAUAAAAGUUUAAAUUUUUCUGUAUUUCUUCGUAUCAUUUUAUUUAAUUCUUUUGGUCAAGUGCCUUACAUACUCGUAAACCCUAGAAUUACGAGUAUGUGGCAGACGUACCCUACCUUAGGGACGUUACACAUGC